rnacentral:lncRNA from 1 species
CCCGCCCCCGCGGCACCACCGCCCCCCCCGGGGCGGGUGCCGGGCCGAGCUGACCGGCGGCGGGUGCGCUGCCCUCGCCUCCCCCAUUGUUCCGACUGUCUUUUUGCCUUUUGUUAUUUGCACUCGCAUUGUGUUGUUUGUCUCUGAAGCCGCCUCAUGACCAGCCAAGGGAUUUCACCUCGUCCUUGAGAGCUACACGGGGAGCGCGAGCGAGCGAGCCAGAGACUGGGGGAGAGGGACGCGCGCGCGCACACACAGACACACACACACAGACACACAUACAGAGUGAAAAAGGCGAGCCACCAAACCCAUCUCCAGUCUCCUCCCGGGGGCCCCCCAGCCCGCCACUGUGCCACUUUGCAUCCCGCGCCCGAGGAGACGCAGAGGAAAGCCGGCUUCUUAAUCAUCCACGGUGUAAAGACACACUUCAAGAGGAUCUUUAGAAGUGUUGGACAAGCUUCACCACGCGUGGCAGGUAUGUGUCUACACAACUGAGUGUGCAAGGAAUGUAACUUGUUUUAUUUUCUACAGUUAGAUCUAAAUUAUAUAUUAACCCUUCGUCUGGCCACGUGGAAGCAAUUUGAGGUUGCAUCCUAAUUCUAGGUAAGAUUUUGAAGGUGAGGGGUGACAUAUCUGCUCCUAUGCUCUCAUCUCUCCACAAGUCAUGGUUGUCCUCUUAUCCUGCAUCAGCACUCAUGAGCCACUGCUGAGGCACACCUUGAUCUUUCUUUGAGCAUUUUUUCCUUUCCUUCUCUUGGCUUCUUCCAGAUACUCCCUGGAUGCAUGAUGGUGUGCUGCUGCUGAACCAGAAGAAAGUCUCUGGGGUGGCAUAGAGCUCUGUGCUCCUUGCAUGACACUGUGAAGCCCCUGGGCCUUGUUCUAUUGCUCCUGGUCAUGCUACUCCAGGCAGUCCUUGGCAGACCUGAUCAGGUCCACCUGCGAUAUAUCACUUAGUCAUUUCAAAGGUCCAGACCUCAUCCAAGAAAGAAAAUCCAUUCCAUCUGCCAUUAUUUUAUACCAUCAUAUUUAGCAAAGAUUGAGGGCAGGAGGAGAAGGGGGGCAACAGAGUAUGAGAUGGUUGGAUGGCAUCAUCGACUCAGUGGAUAUGAGUUUGAGCAAACUCUAAGAGAUAGUGAAGGACAGGGAAGGCUGGCGUGCUGCCGUCCAUGCAGUUGCAAAGAGAUGGACAUGACUGAGCAACUGAACAACCCUGUUAAAAUAUUUUGAACAGCACAACUUAGGAAAUCAAUCUAAACACAAUUUACAUUUUUUUUUCCUGUUGUUUCUUUAAAAUGCACUGGGAAAAGGGAAGUGGAUAUUCUCUUGCCUUUGCAUGAAAUUUAGGCCUCAAGUAGGCUCCAUACCUGGUAAGAUUACUCUUAGAUUUAAAAAAUUUCUAUCUACAUUUUAAAUCACAAACAUUGUGUACAUUCAGAAAUUAGA